rnacentral:sRNA from 1 species
GAUCGGUAGGUAAGGCUACCGCAGGGAUACGGAUUGCUGCCGCAAACCGGUGGAGACACUGUAAGUUGGUCAAAAGGUUUUGUCGAAUCAAGGCUUAACCUAACGCAAUUACACCGCCCUGCGAUGCUAAAGCCAGUACGGAU